UUUAAAAUAAUAAAAAAAAAACAAUUGAGAUGUUUCCCAUUUUUCAACUACCUUUUUUUUAUCCACUACAAAAUCCAACAAUGUUUCUACCAUUUUAUGUUUCACUUCUCCACUACCAUAUGGCAACUCUAAGUGCAAUGUGAAUUUCCACAGUCACAGGACCUACACUUUAUUGGGACUGAAAACAAACAGAACAGUUUUCUCAUACAUGAAAGGCGGCCUCAUCCAUAGUAUGCAACAAACGACGAUGUACAACGGAUACGGAUGAUGAUUUUCUAUACUCCCAUAACUACAACUGGGAACCAAGAGCCCAAGUGAGUGAGUUCGCACCAAACAGCAAGUAGUAGUAAGGCAAACCUCAAAAGAUAACAACAAACAUGGGUGGUGCGCUAGUGUGUUAAGUUGUACGUACCAGUGGCAGCAGUAGUGCUGUAAACUCUUCUGUGAGUACCAUAGCACUCUCAUCACUCAUCACAACACUACAACUGUAAACCCAACGCAACACAACCAACCGAAUCAAACUGACGACAACAACAACUGGAACUACACUUUGUUUCAAAGAGAAAGUUUUAAAUAUAAGCGCGCCUUUCUUCGCAUUGAAACAAAAAUGUACCUACAAAUGCAUACACAACAACAACAACCACAACAUCAUAGUACGAUAUGGCAAAGGACAACAAAACCAUGGAGGCAUACACUUUGGCUUUGCCUUGCUUGCAUUACUAGAAAUGGUAGUUCACAUAGACACGCGGCCCAGGAUUUAGUUAAGAAAAAUAGAUCAUUUAGCAGCAUUAAGUGGAUAAUGAUGAUGAUGAUGGUGGUGACAAUGGCCGCCGGCGGCGAUGGUGUUCGUGGUGGUGUUGCCAAUGUUGUCUUAGCCAAGAUAAAGGACAUUAAGAAAAUCUAUACACUGGGGUAUAAAGGAAACAAGGGAAACAAUAGCCCAUAAAAGGUACAUUGAUCAGAAGUUGCUGGUUGACUACUGUAGAUGCUUUAGUCAACAAAAUUUGCUUAAGGCUAACAACCACGCCUCUUUUUCCAGCACCCAACACACCAUGACGAAAAUUCCCUAAUGACAAUGUGUUAUAACCCUGAGAGCGAGUAUCAACGGGACUUGUGAUGAGAUGCUUAACAAUGCGCUAUUGAACGAAAUUUCCAAAAAAAACACACACAAAAAUCUCCAUUGUCCUUGUCAUCGGUGCCUGGAUCUCUUCCCAACUGAGAAUCGAUAAAGGAAUGCAAGCAAAACAAAUAACAAGUUCUCCUCCCCACACCAAACGAAACGAAUGCAGUUGAGUGCAGCCAAAAAUCCAUGAAAGCAGGAGCACAUCCUUUCACAAAAUUUGUAUGCCCAAAAAUGCAUUGUUGUGCAUUGAAAACCCAAAGAAAGGCAGUGAGAGAGAAAGAGAGGCCAAAUGCCAUGGCAGCAUAACUGGGAAACGCAUGGGUGGCCAAUAAUCAAUUGGUGCAACAUUCAAAAAUUGACUAAGCCCUCUUCGCCCACUGCUAUCGGGGAAAAAAAAGAAAAAACUGGUACUGGUUAAAUGUGGAAUCCAAUUAUUGCUACAUGUACACGAAAAUUGUGAAGCUAGAAAAGCAUGCAUGAAAAUUUCCCGCAAGAUGCUUAAAGACGUAAUCUAGUAAUUCACUUAAAAUGGUAGACCAUCAAAAAAAUU
rnacentral:sRNA from 1 species